CUCACCAAGGCGACAAUCCGUAACUGGUUGAGAGGAUGAUCAGUCACACUGGAACUGAGACACGGUCCANACUCCUACGGGAGGCAGCAGUGGGGAAUAUUGGACAAUGGGCGAAAGCCUGAUCCAGCCAUGCCCGUGUGUGAAGAAGGUCUUCGGAUUGUAAAGCACUUUAAGUUGGGAGGAAGGGCAUUAACCUAAUACGUUAUGUUUUGACGUUACCGACAGAAAUAAGCACCGCUAACUCUGUGCCAGCAGCCGCGGUAAUACAGANGGUGCAAGCGUUAUCGGAAUUACUGGGCGUAAAGCCCGCGUANGUGGUUUGUUAANUUGGAUGUGAAAGCCCCGGGCUCAACCUGGGAACUGCAUCCAAAACUGGCAACUANAGUACGGUAGAAGGUGGUGGAAUUUCCCUGUGUACCGGUGAAAUGCCUUNNAUAUAGGAAGGAACCCCNUNGCCAAGGCNACCCCCUNGACUGAUCUUCACCCGUAGGUCAAAGCGUGGGGAGCAAACAGGAUUAGAUACCCUGGUAGUCCACGCGUAAACGAUGUCAACUAGCCGUUGGAAUCCUUGAGAUUUUAGUGGCGCAGCUAACGCAUUA
rnacentral:rRNA from 1 species